GAUGAACGCUGGCGGUGCGCCUAACACAUGCAAGUCGAACGGCACCCCUCCUCGGAGGGAAGCGAGUGGCGAACGGCUGAGUAACACGUGGAGGACCUGCCCCCUCCCCCGGGAUAGCCGCCCGAAAGGACGGGUAAUACCGGAUACCCCGGGGUGCCGCAUGGCACCCCGGCUAAAGCCCCGACGGGAGGGGAUGGCUCCGCGGCCCAUCAGGUAGACGGCGGGGUGACGGCCCACCGUGCCGACAACGGGUAGCCGGGUUGAGAGACCGACCGGCCAGAUUGGGACUGAGACACGGCCCAGACUCCUACGGGAGGCAGCAGUGGGGAAUCUUGCGCAAUGGGGGGAACCCUGACGCAGCGACGCCGCGUGCGGGACGGAGGCCUUCGGGUCGUAAACCGCUUUCAGCAGGGAAGAGUCAAGACUGUACCUGCAGAAGAAGCCCCGGCUAACUACGUG
rnacentral:rRNA from 1 species